UACGGAGGGUGCAAGCGUUGUCCGGAUUUAUUGGGUUUAAAGGGUGCGUAGGCGGCUUGAUAAGUCCGUGGUGAAAGCCAACAGCUCAACUGUUGAACUGCCAUGGAUACUGUCAGGCUUGAGUACAGACGAGGUAGGCGGAAUGGAUCGUGUAGCGGUGAAAUGCAUAGAUACGAUCCAGAACUCCGAUUGCGAAGGCAGCUUACUAGGCUGUAACUGACGCUGAGGCACGAAAGCGUGGGGAGCGAACAG
rnacentral:rRNA from 1 species